rnacentral:lncRNA from 1 species
AUCUGACUCAUUUCUCACCCAUCUCCUGCCUUAACAUGAAAGUGCAUACGAGUCAGCGCAUUUUCAUCAUAAACAUCAAAAUGAGAUAAAUUCUUAAAUCCUUCAUUUUCUAAUAAAAUUUCUACUAUCUCAAAUACUUUGAUCAAUGCCAUCCCAUAGAGUAGACAAACCUUAUUCUUGGUUGCUGCCUCUCUAAUCUGAUGCAUCAUAAGUCUAGAAAGGUUUAGAGGUAUCCCC